GAGCUGCGAGCUUCUGGCAGUUUCCAGGAUUCUGCCAGAUGACGUUUUGGGCACCAUACACUAUAUCCAGCUACAUCUUGUAUAUGGUCAUGGGAACCGUCAGUGAAGAGGGUUCAAGAUGGCUUCCCUCUUGCUGAUGGCCAGUUUUUGGAAUGGAAAGUGCUUGAUUUCCCAUGGCGGAGGAAAUGUUUUAUCCAUAGAAGGAGUUUGCCCCGAAUACUAAGCUGGGAAAGUUUGAAAAGCAAUCUGAGGUGCCAAGUCGAGUC